UACUCGAGUGGCGAACGGGUGAGUAACACGUGGGUGAUCUGCCCUGCACUCUGGGAUAAGCCUGGGAAACUGGGUCUAAUACCGGAUAGGACCAUGCUUUAGUGUGUGUGGUGGAAAGUUUUUUCGGUGUAGAAUGAGCCCGCGGCCUAUCAGCUUGUUGGUGGGGUAAUGGCCUACCAAGGCGGCGACGGGUAGCCGGACUGAGAGGUUGGUCGGCCACAUUGGGACUGAGAUACGGCCCAG
rnacentral:rRNA from 1 species